GACUUCCACAUGUAUAAGAACCUAAGACGCAAAACGACAUGUCGUUUGAGCUGCUCUGCGCCUCUGCCACCUUCAAUCUCCAAUGUCGCAAGUCCUUAAUUGAACUUACCAAAAGCCAAAAGAGCGCAGCGUUAGAACCAGAGAUGUCAAAGCUGUUUGCAAGAAUUGCUGGGUUCUUCAGCGACAGAACAUUCAUAGGUGUAGACAAAGCUGGGAACCGUUACUUCACUAGAAAGGAAGAGAUUGAUGGUAUUCUAAAGGAGAAAAGAUGGGUGGAAUUCAAACGAGAGCAAGAUCCAACCUUCAUCCCUGUUGAAUGGAUAUGUUGGUUGAAUGGGCAGCGAAAGAUAGCUCCUACUCUAGAGGAAAUAAUGGAGCUAGAAGCAAGACGUGAACAUGUUAGGCUUAAUGUUGCUUUUUUGAAAAGGGAAGAAGAGGAAAGGAAAGUCAGAGAAGGCAGUAAGAAGGCUAUGAGCUUUGGUCCAGACUUGAAAAGCUUCUUUCGACAAUUUCCAUCUUCUUUAGAAGGUAUUAUAUUCUUUUACUGAACUGUUAAUCUGUUGUAAAAUUUGAUCAUUUUAAUUUAUUGAAGCUCUGAUGCUGAUGAUGUUUUCAUUCUGAGUGUUUUUACUCUCAGGUGACAAAGUUGAACAAGCAAGAGAUGGAAGGACCAAGGAGACACGGGAAGAGAAAGGAAAACCAGUUCCAGAUCUUUAAAGAAGAAAGCAGACCAAUUGAAAGUCAAUCUCUUGAAGGCUGAGGCAGUCACUAAGGCUGCUAAGAAAAAAUAUCACGAUGAAGCAUAAAGUUAAAACAAAUUAUUGUCCCAGUUCAAAGCUGCAGAUAACAUUCGCCAAGAAGCUUAUGCGCAGUUGCAGAGUUUGAAGAAACAAUCAUAUGAGAAGGUACUUUUAAACCUUGUAAGCCUUUCUUAUCAUGUAUAGGAAGAUCGUUAUCACUUUAUAUCUCUUAUAUACAUGCUGACACCGAGUCACCUUUGCAUAUCCACUGAGAGAUGUUUAUUGUGGGAGGCAUUUAAUGGUCAAAAGGGUAUUGUAGUCUUUUCUCUUGUUAGAGGUUGUCAACA